CAGCCGUUGGAUACGGUACAUUUUUCCUCACUUGUUCAUCCUCCAAGCAAGUCCAUGACGCAUGGGACCGAAUACAUGCGGGAUCCACCGAGCAGAGGGAGCGAUGCUGCUCGUCCGCGUCGCGUGGUUUGGCUGUUUUCUCGUGGGAGUGGGUAGACAAACCCUAGCUGACCAAUCCCCAUAUUCCCAUCUGCCCAAUCCUCAUCCCCACUUCCCUCCGCCGCCUCUCCUUGGCCGACCUCCACCUUCCGCCUGGACGCGGCCGCAGCAGCGGCAGAAAACACGCGCCCGAGCGAACGCGGUUGGACGCGGCAGCGUCGGCUGCAUGCGGCGAUGGAGGCUCGCCGGAUGCGUGGCGCUGGCCGGACGCGGCGACGGCUGGCGGCGGUGGAGGCUCGCCGGACGGCCGAGACGCCGCGGCGCUGGCCGGACGCAGCGACGGCUGGAUGCGGCGGCUGUACCGGCAGCGGCGAGGGCGCAUCCCCGGCUCCGAUUCGCCCGCCACCUGCGCUGGAAGCGGGAGCCGACGGCGGCGGCUGGACGCGGCAGCGGCAGCAAGGAUACGCGGUCAGCUGUAGGGAACGGUGGUGGAGUGGGUGUGAGUCAAGGAUGGCCAGGAUCCGGGGCAGGGCCGGCCAAAUCGUGUCGGGCGACGGAUUUUGACAAUACAGGGACAGCAACGGCAAGCAUGGCUGGUUUUAAGACGCCAAGGUGGGCUUAAGUGUGUUUGUGCCGGCUGAGUAGAUCGAGUUGUAUAAUGCACAUACCACAACUAUCGUUGUUGUGGUGACUUAGACAGGUUCCUGAAGCUACUAUUUUAGUAAAAUAUUUGAUGUGCUAAAACAAUAAUGUGGAGAGAAGUCGUUUCUCCAAUGAAAAAUAAUAGGUUUGUUUGUGGUGGUCAAGCGCAGUUUUUUAAUGGUGAGACCCGUUCGGAACCAAGGCAUUGAAACAAUAGUGUUGUUGAUAGUGUUGGUGAGAAUUGCGAUGCCUCACAGGUACAAUAAUACAAUCCUGCUGAUCAUUUAUUUUUGGGGACCUUGCUGCUGAUUUUAACAUUCCGAUAUUUAUUCGUGUUUUCGGUUCCUUGCGGGAUGGCAUCGACCAACUUUGCGGAUAAUAAUUGACUUUCUCUACUUUCCCUGGAUGUAUGGGAGGAUGAUAAUAAUUGAUUUAUCUUCAAUGAUUUUAUCUCUUUAUUCUGUCCAUUGCUGGUCUUUGGGCAAAAAGAUAAAUGAAGCAUAUGCUGAUGAAAAAGGACAUAUCUGCCAAAGAACAAGGCAGCUUGUUUUGAUGCCCUUGAGAGUUUGCCAGCCUUCUUAAAUUAUCUUUGCUUAAUUGCUUUUGUUACUAUUUGGCUCGAUGCCAAAAUUUUGUCGAGGUUAUGUUCUAUUUUCCCCCCAGUUCAUAUUUGGAGACUAAAAGAGCAAAUAUUUGAGUUGCCAAUUUGAUAUGCGGAAUUUGGCUUGGUUUUCAUUGGCUUCUUUUAGGCACAAAACCAAUCAGGAAUUUUUUGUUUGCAGCAUUUAUUUGCUUUCUUUGUUUCUGCCUUCUCAUUGUUGCAUGAUCCUUUUGAGGAUCCUCGGGAGAGCUUAUUUUCUCAAUGCCAUAUGGUGAUUCAAACUUUGCUUUCAUUUUGGCGUACUUAGUUUGGCGCCUGGUCCCAUGUUGUGGUUAAUAGACGACUUAAAUCUAUAUUAGAGUUUGUUUCCAUCAACUUGUGUUAUUUAGACUGAAAGAAAUGAUAUGGUAAUAUAAUUUUUCUAAUAGAGUAUUAGAUUACAAUUAUACUUCUUUGCAAUUGGUGUUCCUGUGGGUAAAUAAAUUUAUGCUAUCCAUGUACAGAUGUACAUGCUUUAUGCCCUACCCCUUAUGUCUCUCUUGCUAGGGAGGAAAAGAAAGAAUGUUGUUAUCUGUUCAUGAGCAUGAUUAUGAUCUCAAACAAUUGACCAUUUGCACCCUUAGAGUUACUGUCAUUUACUGCUAUAAGACUUCCUUGUGGUUCUUGCUUGUGCUGGUAAGCAAAUAAAUGGUUAGUCCUAUACAUAGCAUAACACUGAGGUCGCAGCAUGAGUUUGACACCACAGCUUGGUUUCAUUCAAAGGUUUAUGUGCAUUUCAGUGUACAUAGACUCAGUCAUGUCUAUCUGACUCGCCUUUUUUUUGCCUAAUAUGUUGUACUACCUUUUGCACCGCUGAAAUCUCAUUGUCAUUGUCAUUCUACUGUACAAGUACCUAUAGUUGACUGGACUAAAACUGAUUGCAAUGAGCAGAAGUGGAACUGACACAGAUUCUGUAAGAAUUAUGAAUUUGCAUUUCUAUGUAUUUAGUCAUUUACUCAUGGUUAAUACACUCUACUAAUAUACCAUCUAACUGGUUCAGUUGUGUUAUUUGAUUUAAUCUCCUAUGAAUAAGUAUUCAAAAAUUAUUUAUGCGUACUUGUGCUAUGUUUGUGCUUUAGCUAAUUGUUUUGGCAAUCAUCUGGAAGCAAUUUUGAUGUGGUGGCUUGUUGGUGCUAAUUAAUUCAUUUGAUCUUACCAGCAGGAACCGUGUUUCGCUACAUCAUAUCUUGCUUGAUGGAACUUUGCAUGCACACUGACCAUGGAACUCACUCAUGGCAAGUGGGAACUGGAUACCGUGCAUUCAAAAGGUUAUUGUGUGGUUAUAUUUAGAUAUAUUUUAUUAAUUUCCUGUUGGCUUGUGCUAAUAUGUAUUAUAUUGAGUUAUUGGCAUUCUAAUAUGAUUUUCAGAUAUUUUGAGUCAUGCUAAUUUGCUAAUUGGAUCUUUGGUUGUAUUCAAUAUGGUCGUUCACUUGUUGCAAUAUUUCAGAAAUCUAGCAGUGUAAAAUAAAGUAUAUGGAAAUCUGAAGUCGCAGAUUUUUGGUAGUUGCAGUGCGGAUAUUUGGAGACCUCAUGAUUUGUGUUUGAACCUGACCCUGAUUAAAAAAUCUGGUCCAAAAUUAUGUGGUGUACAAUAUCUCAAUUUUUUAUGAAAUAUGGUGCUUAAAUCGUCAAUGAGGAUGACCUGGUCGACGGUGCGAUUUGGCUGGCCGCGUGGACCAAGUCGAUGGCGGCUGCUCCCACGGUGAGACGAAUAUAUCUGCCUCCAUGGGCGGAUCCAGGUUAAAAUUUUAGUGGGGGCAAAAAUGUGCUAAGUAGUGAAAAUAUAUUUGCUGAGUGGGGGCAAACCAGUCUUUAGCCUAACUAAUUACAAGGUGAGUGAAAAUUGAGUGGGGCAGCUGCCCCCCUUGACUAUGUGCUGGAUCCGCCCAUGUCUGCCUCUUUCUCUUCCCUUGAUUUUGGGCUCCAAUUUUCCGUUGAUUCGUUGGGUGCACUGUCCUGUCCAGUAUAUACUCGCUAGGCUAAGAAGAGAAAUUGUCGUAGCUGAAAACCAAAGCUACUUGCUGCACAACAACUACCUGAAAGUUGAGGACGCCCGGUCAACAACUGCAUUAUGUUGGUGCAAUAAAAUGCACUGUCAUCAUAUAAAUCUUAACUGUGAGAAACUACUGUUAUACUGAUGUUUCUUGCCUGUCAUUACUGAUGCAUCAGCACAGGGCCUUUUUCUUACUGUUAUACUGAUGUUUCUUGCCUGUCAUUCAUACUCUCAUACUUCUUUCUGAUGUUUCUUACUGAUGCUCCACAUCCUGUGUAGGUACCCUGUCAAUUAUGCAUUUUAUAAAUGAUAUUGCAUUCCCUAAAAAGGAUGGGUAGCUCAUCAGUCUUUUUCUGAGAGUAGUUUGGUUGAAACUACUGAGUACUGUCAAAGAUUAUGCAAGACCCUGAAGCCAUUGAUGACAGAAGCAUGAAAGGCUGACUAGGUUGCAUGUGUGGUUACAGGAAAAUGAAGUGAC